rnacentral:tRNA from 1 species
UAGCUCAGUUGAUAGAGCAUUAGCCUUCCAAGCUGAGGGUCGCGGGUUUGAGCCCCGUCUUCCG